GCACAAGUGGGGAAACCCUGAUGCAGCCAUGCCGCGUGUGUGAAGAAGGCCUUCGGGUUGUAAAGCACUUUCAGUAGGGAGGAAGGUAGUGUAGUUAACACCUGCACUAUUUGACGUUACCUACAGAAGAAGCACCGGCUAACUCCGUGCCAGCAGCCGCGGUAAUACGGAGGGUGCGAGCGUUAAUCGGAAUUACUGGGCGUAAAGCGCAUGCAGGCGGCCUGUUAAGUCAGAUGUGAAAGCCCCGGGCUUAACCUCGGAAUUGCAUUUGAAACUGGCAGGCUAGAGUCUUGUAGAGGGGGUAGAAUUUCAGGUGUAGCGGUGAAAUGCGUAGAGAUCUGAAGGAAUACCAGUGGCGAAGGCGGCCCCCUGGACAAAGACUGACGCUCAGAUGCGAAAGCGUGGGGAGCAAACAGGAUUAGAUACCCUGGUAG
rnacentral:rRNA from 1 species